AAAACAAACGAGCCCUCACAAAACAACAGAGCAGACGCCUCCUUUAAAUUCGAUCCUCCAAGCUGCAACUGUUCAACAAUGGCGACCUCUAAUGACGGAUCCCAGAGCAAUCGAUGAGCAGUGAGCUCGCCUUAAUCACCACAAAAAUGGGGAAAUUAGUGUCAAGCUUGGAUAGAAUACACUUGAGACGUUAUACUUCUCACUAACACCAUGUAUUAUUGUCCAUCAAAGACUUCUUUAGCUCAACCCAUCUUGGUCCAGCUCCUGUGUGAAAGACUGAGCUCUGAGGGAACUAAUACCACUGUCUAAAAAACCAAGAUCUAAAGUCCAUAGGCUUCUGUUAGGUGAGCAGCCUGUAAGGAUAUUCAUGUUCUCAACAUCCUCAGAAUUAAGAAGAAGGUCCUCCUCAAACUCCAACAUAUCUAUAACCACAAUACCAUGUCCACCUAAACUGUCUCCAUGUCAGUAUGAAGAACCAGAGCAUUAUUUAAAUUCUCAAACUCCUGAGAAGGCAUCACAUUGUUGGCAAUCAUCUCCCCUGAUUCAUCUCUUUUAUGCAUGAUUUCUACAUUUUUGUCCUUGGUGUUUUCCAAGUUAUUUGCUUCACUGUUCUUAAAGCCUUGAUUACCUGUUGUGAUUGUAUUUUUGUAGAUGGAAUUUGUAAUCCAUUCUUUGGUAUUCAUCUUCUUCCCCUCCACUCUAUGUUUUUCUACAUCAUCCGGCUCUUCAUUAAGAGCAUUAAAUGAAUUGUUGGU